AUUGAACGUUGGCGGCAUGCCUUACACAUGCAAGUCGAACGGCAGCACGGGUGCUUGCACCUGGUGGCGAGUGGCGAACGGGUGAGUAAUACAUCGGAACAUACCUUAUCGUGGGGGAUAACGCAGCGAAAGCUGUGCUAAUACCGCAUACGCCCUGAGGGGGAAAGCGGGGGAUCGAAAGACCUCGCGCGAUUAGAGCGGCCGAUGCCUGAUUAGCUUGUUGGUGGGGUAAAAGCCCACCAAGGCGACGAUCAGUAGCUGGUCUGAGAGGACGAUCAGCCACACUGGGACUGAGACACGGCCCAGACUCCUACGGGAGGCAGCAGUGGGGAAUUUUGGACAAUGGGGGCAACCCUGAUCCAGCAAUGCCGCGUGAGUGAAGAAGGCCUUCGGGUUGUAAAGCUCUUUUGUCAGGGAAGAAACACCGGCUCUAACACAGUCCGGGAAUGACGGUACCUGAAGAAUAAGCACCGGCUAACUACGUGCCAGCAGCCGCCGUAA
rnacentral:rRNA from 1 species